GGGCGCAAGCCUGAUGCAGCCAUGCCGCGUGUAUGAAGAAGGCCUUCGGGUUGUAAAGUACUUUCAGCAGUGAGGAAGGUGGGUAUGUUAAUAGCAUAUUCAUUUGACGUUAGCUGCAGAAGAAGCACCGGCUAACUCCGUGCCAGCAGCCGCGGUAAUACGGAGGGUGCGAGCGUUAAUCGGAAUUACUGGGCGUAAAGCGCAUGCAGGUGGUUUGUUAAGUCAGAUGUGAAAGCCCGGGGCUCAACCUCGGAAUUGCAUUUGAAACUGGCAAACUAGAGUACUGUAGAGGGGGUAGAAUUUCAGGUGUAGCGGUGAAAAUGCGUAGAGAUCUGAAGGAAUACCGGUGGCGAAGGCGGCCCCCUGGACAGAUACUGACACUCAGAUGCGAAAGCGUGGGGAGCAAACAGGAUUAGAUACCCCGGUAA
rnacentral:rRNA from 1 species